rnacentral:lncRNA from 1 species
CCGUCCGUAUUUCUAUUUACUUUCAGGUAUGUUGUUGCCUAGCAGUUAGCAAUUCAUAAGUUAGACAAAGUAUGUUUGUUUCAUUAAUUUUCAUACUGCCGCUUUUGAUGGUGUACAUGAUGUAGGCAGUAGUAUCUAGCACUUCCCCUCCCACUUCUUUGGAGUAGUUCCACGUUCUAUUUCCAACAGGUGGUCGUACCCUGUUCACAUGGAAUUGUUAAGUCCCCAAAACUCAUCAUGUUCUUACAGGUUUCUUCUCAGAUUCUUUAUGUACAUAGAGCAAGUACUAUGACUCAACACAUUGUCUUCUAGGGCUAAUUCUGCACCCGUUGUGUUUGAGAGAAGAUAAUUAUUCUUCUUCUUUCACAUUUAGCAGAAACAAUUGCUGACACACGUGCUAGAAUUUGGUGUGUAUCCAUCAUGAAUUCAAUCUGCUUAUUCAUGUUCGCCACUACAUCCAUGUCUAUUAAAUCAUGGAUGCUUAUGUCACUCAUAUUGACCCCUAAUAUUUUAAUGCAGAGAUGAAGACUUGGAUUUGCUUUUUCUUUGGGCUCAUUAUUUGUGCGGAUAUUUUGUAUCUCGAGAUUUAUUGCAUGUAAUGGUGUUGAUUAAUCUCAGUUUAUGAAAACGCAAAUUGUAUCUGGUAAGAAUUUUGGUACAAUUUGUGUUCCCAGAAUUUUAAUACAGUUUGUGCUUUUUAGAAAUUAAGUUGGCAGAAAUGGUUAAUAUCAGAUUAAGGAAAUGCAAAUUCUAUCACUCUAAGGAGACUUAGUUAAUUAGAUUUUCAUUCAGCUACUAGGAGUUCCUUUGCGGCCGCUAUUUACUAUCCAGUCUUGGGAUAGUUGAAGAAUAAUGUGGAGAGAAGUCUUUUGUGAGCUGAUUUGAGCCUAGGUACAGUUGAUCUCUUUCUUUCUCAACGCCAUCUUAUUUUUACUUCAUGCUUCACAUUUAUUCUAGACAUCAGUUAGUUGACUGAAUAAUGCGGUGAGUGAUCUUUUAUUGAAUGAUUGAGGUAAAUGAAUAUUAUGGCGAUGGAAGCAUUUGUCAGGUUGUUUCAGCUUACGUAGAGAUUGUUCUGUGAUUAAGGCUUGAAGCUGCUCAUUUCUGACAGGUUUGCAUGAGCUCAAAGAAAAAGAUACAGUGAAAUCUCUCAUCAGCUUACUUGACCUUUCUUAUAUUAAUAUCACAAAGUCUCGCACAUAUGGGAUGUUCUCUGAUAAAUGUGGCAUCGCUUCUGUAUUGAAGAACAUUACUAGAUGGGGCCAAAAGAGUUGUCUUUGUU